AACGCGAAGAACCUUACCUGGGCUCGAAGCGUACCUGACCAUCCCGAGAAAUCGGGACUUCCCGCAAGGGACAGGUGCGGAGGUGCUGCAUGGCUGUCGUCAGCUCGUGCCGUGAGGUGUUGGGUUAAGUCCCGCAACGAGCGCAACCCUUAUCCUUAGUUGCCACCCGCAAGGGGGAACUCUAAGGGGACUGCUCCGGAUAACGGAGAGGAAGGUGGGGAUGACGUCAAGUCAGCAUGGCCUUUAUGUCCAGGGCUACACACGUGUUACAAUGCGCGCCACAAAGCGCUGCGAACCCGCGAGGGGGAGCUAAUCGCAAAAAAGCGCGCUCAGUUCGGAUUGCAGUCUGCAACUCGGCUGCAUGAAGCCGGAAUCGCUAGUAAUGGCGCAUCAGCACGGCGCCGUGAAUACGUUCCCGGGCCUUGUACACACCGCACGA
rnacentral:rRNA from 1 species